rnacentral:rRNA from 1 species
AUGUACUUGCAGCUCCUGUGCGGCCUCGUGCGCCGCGAGAUGGCCGUGCUGGAUGGCGGCGAGCGGCGAGGUCGAUCUGUAGUACGCGCAGCUGUGCGGCUCGUGCACCGUGCGGACGUGCUCUGCAUCGACAUGGUCUUUGCGGCCAGGUUUCUCCGUCUUGUGUCGGUGCCCAGCGAGCUUCCCAUCCAGUGCGCCGCCGAUUGGGGCUCAGGGCUCCUAGGCAUGGGCCUGUACUGGCGGCCAGCGAGCUUCCGUCCAAUUCAGCCUUUGUUUGUCUUGUUGAGAUUAUCCUUUUGA